UACGAAGGGGGCUAGCGUUGCUCGGAAUCACUGGGCGUAAAGCGCACGUAGGCGGAUCUUUAAGUCAGGGGUGAAAUCCUGGAGCUCAACUCCAGAACUGCCUUUGAUACUGGGGAUCUCGAGUCCGGAAGAGGUGAGUGGAACUCCGAGUGUAGAGGUGAAAUUCGUAGAUAUUGGGAAGAACACCGGUGGCGAAGGCGGCGACCUGGUCCAUUACUGACGCUGAGGCGCGACAGCGUGGGGAGCAAACAGG
rnacentral:rRNA from 1 species